rnacentral:rRNA from 2 species
AAUGGGUCAGCGACUUAUAUUCUGUAGCAAGGUUAACCGUAUAGGGGAGCCGAAGGGAAACCGAGUCUUAACUGGGCGUUAAGUUGCAGGGUAUAGACCCGAAACCCGGUGAUCUAGCCAUGGGCAGGUUGAAGGUUGGGUAACACUAACUGGAGGACCGAACCGACUAAUGUUGAAAAAUUAGCGGAUGACCUGUGGCUGGGGGUGAAAGGCCAAUCAAACCGGGAGAUAGCUGGUUCUCCCCGAAAGCUAUUUAGGUAGCGCCUCGUGAACUCAUCUUCGGGGGUAGAGCACUGUUUCGGCUAGGGGGCCAUCCCGGCUUACCAACCCGAUGCAAACUACGAAUACCGAAGAAUGUUAUCACGGGAGACACACGGCGGGUGCUAACGUCCGUCGUGAAGAGGGAAACAACCCAGACCGCCAGCUAAGGUCCCAAAGUCAUGGUUAAGUGGGAAACGAUGUGGGAAGGCACAGACAGCCAGGAUGUUGGCUUAGAAGCAGCCAUCAUUUAAAGAAAGCGUAAUAGCUCACUGGUCGAGUCGGCCUGCGCGGAAGAUGUAACGGGGCUAAACCAUGCACCGAAGCUGCGGCAGCGACACUAUG